rnacentral:rRNA from 1 species
CCUGGCGGCGAGUGGCGAACGGGUGAGUAAUACAUCGGAACGUACCCAGAAGUGGGGGAUAACGUAGCGAAAGUUACGCUAAUACCGCAUACGUUCUACGGAAGAAAGUGGGGGACCUUCGGGCCUCAUGCUUUUGGAGCGGCCGAUGUCUGAUUAGCUAGUUGGUGAGGUAAAGGCUCACCAAGGCGACGAUCAGUAGCUGGUCUGAGAGGACGACCAGCCACACUGGGACUGAGACACGGCCCAG